rnacentral:misc_RNA from 1 species
GAUGAAGAACGCAGUGAAAUGCGAUAAGUAGUGUGAAUUGCAGAAUUCAGUGAAUCAUCGAAUCUUUGAACGCACAUUGCGCCCCUUGGUAUUCCAUGGGGCAUGCCUGUUCGAGCGUCAUUUGUACCUUCAAGCUCUGCUUGGUGUUGGGUGUUUGUCCCGCCUCUGCGUGUAGACUCGCCUCAAAACAAUUGGCAGCCGGCGUAUUGAUUUCGGAGCGCAGUACAUCUCGCGCUUUGCACUCAUAACGACGACGUCCAAAAGUACAUUUUUACACUCUUGACCUCGGAUCAGGUAGGGAUACCCGCUGAACUUAAGCAUAUCAAUAAGCGGAGGA